AUUGAACGCUGGCGGCAGGCCUAACACAUGCAAGUCGAACGAGUGGCGGACGGGUGAGUAAUGUCUGGGAAACUGCCCGAUGGAGGGGGAUAACUCCUGGAAACGGUAGCUAAUACCGCAUACCAUCGGAUGUGCCCAGAUGGGAGUAGCUUGUAGGUGAGGUAACGGCUGACCUAGGCGACGAUCCCUCGCUGGUCUGAGAGGAUGACCAGCGACACUGGAACUGAGACACGGUACAGACUCCUACGGGAGGCACCAGUGGGGAAUAUUGGACAAGGGGCGCAAGCCGGAUACAGCCAUGCCGCGUGUAUGAAGAAGGCCUUGGGGUUGUAAAGUACUUUCAGCGGGGAGGCGUUACGCGCAGAAGAAGCACCGGCUAACUCCGUGCCAGCAGCCGCGGUAAUUC
rnacentral:rRNA from 1 species